GCAAGUUUAUGUCGUCGUCGCGAAAGGGCCAUUUCGGUUUUGUAAACCGUCGGUCGUCGGUUCAAAUCCGACAACUGGCUCCA
rnacentral:tRNA from 1 species